rnacentral:sRNA from 1 species
ACAAAAACCACGCGCCCGCCGGGCCGCGCUCGGGCCUUCGCCCCCAGGGACUUCGGAACCGCCCCAUCCUCAAGAUCGAAAAGCCCAGGGCCUCGCGGCGGCUCCAAGCACGGUGUUGGGGGUGGGGGUCUAGGGGGCGCCCAGGCCCAAGGCCGCCCUGGUCCGGCGUGGACCCCGCGGGGCUCAAGACAGGUUCCCCUGCCUGACCCGCCCAGCCCCUCUAUGCGAACUCGAACGACACGCACCACAGCCCGCCACGUACGCGAGACUCGCGCUGUGCCCCAACCCAGGUGGGCCGCCCGCGGAGCCGCGAGGCCUGAGCCCGCCCUGCAAGUGACCCGCGGCCCUUCCUCCUCCAGGUGACCGACGGCCCAGUCCCUGCAGGUGACCCGCGGACCCUCCCCGCCCGCCCUACGACCGUCACAGGACCGCCUCCGCAGGCGCACCGGAGCCGAUUGCGCAGGCGUGGCUCUCACACGCGCUGCCCUGUUGGCGUUGGUGCGGGACUGCGCAGGCGCGCGGGGCAAGAGGCUGGCAGUGCGCCUGCGCCGCGUUGGCG